CGUGCCUCGUAUGCUGUUGUCAGAGCAAAACACUUUUGCUGCUUAAAGUCAGAUCUACGUCCUUUGCAAUAAUACUUAAAAAAAAAAAGGAUAAAUAAUUGCCUUAAAGCCUCAGCCGAACUGCCAACCACACCUUCGGAUGUCAGAAGGCAGAAAUAUGUGAACUGCUGAGAGAGCUACCUUCUUAAUCGACGGCAAAUCCCCACUCUGGAGGAUCAGGCCCUAUCUGGGCUACUUCUCAGCCAAGGAAUGUAUCCGUCCCUUCAUCUCCACAUAUCUUACCUGUGAUGUAUUCUACCUUUUGAGGAGGGAAUAAUAUGCUAUUUACCACAAAGCACAGCUUCAAAGCCUUUGUGUGUUUCUCAUCUCCAGCCAAAGCUUGUUAUUUACCACCUUCAAAAUUUACCCGGGUAAGGGAUAGUAGCAGUUAUUGUCUUCAUUUUUACAUCCUAAUUUUCACACAGCAAAUGCCCUGCAUUAGGGCCAGAUCCUCACUCAGGUGGAAGUUAUUAACUUUAAGCAGAAUCGAGCCUAUUUCAGCCAGCCGCAGCUCGUGCCCUUCUAACACAGUUGCUUUACAGCAUCCCCUUGUUUAUUUUUUUCUUUGGAGGGCAUGAUUCUUUAAACAUGUUUGUUUUACAGGGAGCAGCAGUUGAUUCCUAACUUUUUUCCCCCCGCAAACAUGUAAAGAGAAUAUUAAUAGGGAAUAUUAAUAGAGCUGAGUGCAGCAUGACGCUAGUUAGAUUGUAGUAGCUGAGAAAUAUGAACUAGUGAACAUAAUCCAUAAACUCCAUUUGGUUACUAUAAUACUCCAAUCUGUAUUUAUUACAACCCCACUCUGAUGCUUAUACAACUGCAAUUGCUAGAUUUAUACACUCUAAUGGCUUCACAAUAGGAAAAACCUGUGUUCUUUAUCUUUCUUUUCCUGUCCAAAAUAACCCCUUCCACAUAUACUUCAGGCUUCUCCGGACCUUGUCUGGGUUUAAUCAUGGGCUGUGGGACAAAAUGUGCAUUAUUAAGAAAUAUAAAUAUUUUCAGAAGCAAUCAAAGGGUUGAAAGAUUGAUUCGGCAUGUAGAUUGGAUUUAAUUCGAAGCAGCUUUGUUCUAAUGAGGACUACUGGGAUACAAAGACGGCAGCCGCUUAUGGCCACCAGUUGGGAACUUCGACUCGCUGCAGCAACCUGUCAAGAAUUUCAAGAAACUGCCAGGAAUUUGGAAGAUGCCCACAUCUAAGACAAUGGUGAGGAUUGGGCCAAAAUCUAGAUCCAGCCUGGAUUCCUCCAUCUGAGUAGUCCUGUCCUGAGCUAUGACUGUUGACGGAUCGCAGCGAUGUGGACCUUUCUCUCGCCUUACUCCCUGGCAUCAGAUCACCACGAGGGCCUGAGAUAAUACUAGAUGAACCAUCACAAGACCAGGAUUGGAAAGUGUGGGGACCAAGCACAUGGGGAGGUGGUCGGUGCAGCUGGUUCCCUGACUGUCGCUGGGUGGUGGUUCAGCUCUCAGUCACGGCCCAAGCUACCAGAAGUCGGAGAAACAUCGCAUGGUCUGUUCCUGUCCUGGCUCCUCCUUAUCAGUGCUUCCAGCUGUAUGAAGCCCUGAGAACCAAGGCAACAUGAGUGCGUGACCAGGUAUUUGCUCCUCUCAUGGUCUAUACCUGAAGCACAGCACAGAGUUUCAUCCUUUGCUUCAGCAGGAGAGGCACAGCCUGGUUUGCUACAAUGCAACUGUCCUCAUUAAUGUACUUCAAGCCCUGACAUACUGGGACUACCAUUAUUGAUGCCGUCUUAAUCUCUGGUUUUGGUGGGAAGACUAUGCAGUCUCAGUGAUACUGUGCCAUCCUGUUCCCUGCUUUCAGGCUGGGGUCACAAUUUGGAUUUGGAAGAAGCAACUUCCAUGCAGAGAUGUGACUGGAAUAUGAAUACUAUUCCAGGUCAUGACCUCACUGCAGUUCCUGGAUUCUUUCUGAAAAGAUUAAAAUGAACUAAUAUACCAGUGAUCUCAUCGCAGUGUAAAGGACAUCUUACACAGGGAAAAAAACCCCAAACCAGGAGAACUUCAAUACUUGGUUUGCAUCAAGAGUAGAAAAAGCACUAUAACAUCAUCGUGGAGAAACACUAAAAGGUACAAUGCCAGAGAGGCAUUUUUCCGUCUUCUUAUAAACUAUUUGGAUUUGUCCUACUUGAUCCUGCCUGUCACACCUGUCAUCCUUUUAGCUGUCUCUGCAUCUAUUCUCUUUCCUUUUUUCCUGCCUUUACCUGUACAUUCCCUUGUCUCUUCUGUGCCCUUCCUACAUGUUUUAAUGUACCUGAUUACUUUGAAUCACAUACACUACUAUUCUCAACUACAUCCAAAAUACAUUUUGCAGAUUAUAGACACACUAUCAUGUUAUACAGAAGUAUUCACACAUCAUUUAUAGCUUACGUUAUUCUGGGUAAGAACCCCUUUCCUACAUGUAUAUACAGUUCUCAGGCCAGGGGGUCAUGGAUUAUGACAGCUCUCAUCUACUUUGGAGCUGUUAUAUCUUCUAACAGAUAUCAGGAGGAUGAGUAGGGAGAGAUGAUUUGUUUUCUUUGUUAUGAGAACCCAUAAAUUAGUAUUCAUGUAAUGGAGAAUCCCACCACGUUUUUAAUGUUGUAUCACAUUCUGAGGUUGGAAACUAGAAUAUCUUCAGAACAUGAUGAGUAUACUGUUAAUAAUGUAAUCUUAUCUGUUGCGCCCAUAGGUAUGCCCCAGCUCUGGCUUGAGCUCACACCAUUAGGCAAUGAGGUGACAAACCGGUUUCCUUUCUCAAGCCGAAUGUCACGUAACUAACUGCCCAGGGGCCCAUUUUGGUGGUGGUAGCAUCCCCUGACUUUUCAAGGAGAUAUGUGCCGGUGUGACCCGCUCCACCCUGUAGGCUUGGCAGGAGGAAACAAAACCGCUCAUUUCCAUCUGUGACAUUUCUCAGCCAGGAAGAAAGCCAUGAGGCAUCAGACUGUAGGCUGGGAGGCAUCAGAGCAGCCACUUGUUAGACACUCACAAAAACCCCUCCAAAAACUAUCAAGUGGAGAUGAGUUCCUGGGUUAAGCAAGCUGAUAUAAUGGGUGAUGAUACCUUCCUACCCACCCAACAAGAUUUGUUACUCCUCGAUGGAGUAACAGACAAACAUAUCCAACCCCAAAUGCUCUGCUGUUGAUAUAUCUGGUUUAGUGAAGAAAGCCCCAAUCAGUGAUGAAUAUUAUAGGAUAAAUACAUCCUGCAGCAUUAGUAGAAGUUCCAAAAGGCCCAAGGAGCAGUGCAAAGCAUCUGUUACCAACAAGAAAAUAGUGGGUGAAAAGCUGUUGUAAUUCCUGGCCCCAGGAGCCUGUCUGGAGGCACAGACUUCCCAAGGCAGACGGGAGUUGGAGAACUCUGGAUGUUCAGUGAGAUCUCAUCCCCCUGCACAUUCACCAGGUCAGCUCGGUCCAGGCCAAAGGAGCCGGGCAAGGUCCUCGGCUCUACUCCAAGUUCAUUGCUCUAUUGAUUGUGAAGAGGUACUUACAGUAGAUCGGAAUCUUGAACCGAGACUGGCCUACCAGCUGAAGCUGUAUGAACUAAAUCGUAUAUUCCCCAACUACAGAUAAAACCAGUGGCCAAUUUUAGCCUAAUCAUCACUUCCACCAGCGGAAAGAGAAACUCUCUGAGGUUUAUUCCUAAAUCUGUUGGAAAUGGAAAUGAUUCCAUUGACUCCAACAAACUCUGCUUUCUACUGGAUUAAGGAAGAUGUUUGUACAUCAGAUUUUCUGGUGAUGUCCCACUAAUGAAACAUGGAAUUUUAUAAACACAUCAGGGAGGGUAAGUGCCCAAGAAAGACAAGUCAGAUAGAGAUCCAGAAAUUACAGUCUACUUGUAACAGAAAUAAAACAAGGAAUGCUUACUAA